rnacentral:rRNA from 1 species
UACGUAGGGGGCAAGCGUUGUCCGGAUUUACUGGGCGUAAAGGGCGCGUAGGCGGCCACUGCAAGUCAGUUGUGAAAUCUCCGGGCUUAACCCGGAACGGUCAACUGAUACUGCAGGGCUAGAGUGCAGAAGGGGCAACUGGAAUUCUCGGUGUAGCGGUGAAAUGCGUAGAUAUCGAGAGGAACACCUGCGGCGAAGGCGGGUUGCUGGGCUGACACUGACGCUGAGGCGCGAAAGCCAGGGGAGCGAACGGG